ACGCUGGCGGCGUGCCUAACACAUGCAAGUCGAACGAGAUGCUUAUCGGAAAGCUUCGGCCGGAAGAUAAGUUAUCUAGUGGCGGACGGGUGAGUAACACGUGGGUAACCUGCCUUAUGGAGGGGGAUAACAGAGAGAAAUCACUGCUAAUACCGCAUAAGCACACAGUACCGCAUGGUACAGGGUGAAAAGAUUUAUCGCCAUAAGAUGGACCCGCGUCUGAUUAGCCAGUUGGCAGGGUAAAAGCCUACCAAAGCAACGAUCAGUAGCCGAUCUGAGAGGAUGACCGGCCACAUUGGGACUGAGACACGGCCCAAACUCCUACGGGAGGCAGCAGUGGGGAAUAUUGCACAAUGGGGGAAACCCUGAUGCAGCGACGCCGCGUGAGUGAAGAAGUAUUUCGGUAUGUAAAGCUCUAUCAGCAGGGAAGAUAAUGACAGUACCUGACUAAGAAGCCCCGGCUAACUACGUGCCAGCAGCCGCGGUAAUACGUAGGGGGCAAGCGUUAUCCGGAUUUACUGGGUGUAAAGGGAGCGUAGACGGAAUGGCAAGUCUGAAGUGAAAUACCCGGGCUCAACCUGGGAACUGCUUUGGAAACUGUUGUUCUAGAGUGUUGGAGAGGUAAGUGGAAUUCCUGGUGUAGCGGUGAAAUGCGUAGAUAUCAGGAAGAACACCGGAGGCGAAGGCGGCUUACUGGACAAUAACUGACGUUGAGGCUCGAAAGCGUGGGGAUCAAACAGGAUUAGAUACCCUGGUAGUCCACGCUGUAAACGAUGAAUACUAGGUGUCGGGGUACAAAGUAUCUCGGUGCCGUCGCUAACGCAAUAAGUAUUCCACCUGGGGAGUACGUUCGCAAGAAUGAAACUCAAAGGAAUUGACGGGGACCCGCACAAGCGGUGGAGCAUGUGGUUUAAUUCGAGCAACGC
rnacentral:rRNA from 1 species